UACGUAUGUCGCAAGCGUUAUCCGGAUUUAUUGGGCGUAAAGUGCGUCUAGGCGGUUUAGUAAGUCUGAUGUGAAAAUGCGGGGCUCAACCCCGUAUUGCGUUGGAAACUGGUAAACUAGAGUACUGGAGAGGUAGGUGGAACUCCAAGUGUAGAGGUGAAAUUCGUAGAUAUUUGUAGGAAUACCGAUGGGGAAGGCAGCCCCCUGGACAGAUACUGACGCUAAAGUGCGAAAGCGUGGGGAGCAAACAGG
rnacentral:rRNA from 1 species